AACGAACGCUGGCGGCAUGCCUAACACAUGCAAGUCGAACGAGACCUUCGGGUCUAGUGGCGCACGGGUGCGUAACGCGUGGGAAUCUGCCCUUGGGUUCGGAAUAACAGUUAGAAAUGACUGCUAAUAUCGGAUGAUGUCUUCGGACCAAAGAUUUAUCGCCCAGGGAUGAGCCCGCGUAGGAUUAGCUAGUUGGUGAGGUAAAGGCUCACCAAGGCGACGAUCCUUAGCUGGUCUGAGAGGAUGAUCAGCCACACUGGGACUGAGACACGGCCCAGACUCCUACGGGAGGCAGCAGUGGGGAAUAUUGGACAAUGGGCGAAAGCCUGAUCCAGCAAUGCCGCGUGAGUGAUGAAGGCCCUAGGGUUGUAAAGCUCUUUUACCCGGGAUGAUAAUGACAGUACCGGGAGAAUAAGCCCCGGCUAACUCCGUGCCAGCCGCCGCGGUAAAAC
rnacentral:rRNA from 1 species